rnacentral:ncRNA from 1 species
CGACCCAUCGGCGCCGAUUUGUCCGGCUUGCGGGCGCCUAAAAAAUGCAGCUAAAGAGGGACACCCGAUCCACGG